CUGUUUGCUUAUGGAAAAUAAGGGGGAGUGACAGAAAAAAAAUAGAAGGGAGAAGAGAAGAGAGGAGAGGGAGGCCCAGACCGCAGUGCAAUCCAGGAACCUUGCCCCUGCCUGAUCAUUAACCCUGCUGGUGAAGGCGGCUGGCUCUGGCUCCCCGGCUUAUCCCUGGCAUGUGAGCGGGCAGGGGCUUCUGCCGCGCUGCCGGCCCCUUACAGCCCCGCGGGCCGCUGUUCCUACAUUUCCUCGCCUAUACACACAUACGCACACCCUCAGAGCUCGCCUCUGUGCUGACUGCAGACAUGAGACUCCAACUGCUCCUUUGGAUCGUGUUUUUGCUCCUGGCGAGCCUCCUCCCAGCCUACGGACAGCGGCCAGUCAACCUGGCCCUGCGCAGGAAGCUCCACCGGCACGGCUGCUCCCACCGGCGCUGCAUGCCGCUCCACUCCAGGGUGCCCUUCCCCUGAGCCCCCGCCCGAGCCUGCCCAAGGUGUUUAACAGUGAAAAGGAGACCGAAGUCAAACUUUUAACAACCCUAUACCAAGAAUCUCCUCAAUGCAUAAACUGCCUUGAUGAAAAGAGCCUACACCACUCCCAAAACAGCUGUGCAAAAGCAAUUUCACAAUGGGCUUUUCAGUGUUUUAAAGGAGCAACAGUUAAACAGAUAGAAAAUUUAAAUUAGUCAAAAGUCCAGAUCGACAACAGCUGACCUGACACCCCCACAGUUCUGUCUUCAGCAGUCCUGUCUGUCACAUUCUGCUGACCUGGAAGAGGUGGUGGAAGGGUAGUGAUGGAGGAUGUACAUGAAACUUACCUGGUUGAAUCAUUCGAUGUAAAUUCUUUGACUCUCCUAAUGACUAGUGAAAGCUAAAGACCAAAUCAAACUCAAACCUGAGCUGGGGUUCCAGUGGCUUUAAGAAGGAAGGAUCCAUCAAAGGGGACUCUUAAUGGUAUGUAAUGUUCAGACUGAAUGAAAUUGGAUGUGCUGUUAACUACUCAAUUCAGGCUGUGUAUAGGGCAGUAUUUAGGGUGAAAUAAUGUCAUACUCCAGUACAGAACUGUGUCCACUGUUUGUUUAUACUUUUAUAUAUUAAUAAUAUAUACAUAUGUGUUUUAACGCCUAACAAUACAUCUUUAUGGAAUUACCUAAAUAAUAACAUAGAAUGCAUAACUGUAAUAGUAUCAAAGUCAGUACCACACUAAUGGUCCUACUGGCUUCACAUAGAGUAAGCAUAGUGAGAGUUUACAAUAUAAGAAAGCAAAGAGAGUGUUAUCCCUCAUUCUGUAGAUAGAGAAUUGAAGCAUACAGAGAUAAGAGAUUAGCCAAGGGUCAUGCAAAACUGAUAACUCAGAUCUCUUAAGCCAGGCCUUAAGGUCAAGCCCAUCCUCCUGUCUAAUGAGCUGUUACUGCAAAGAAAAAUUUGUGCUCUUAAACUGGGCUGCCAAACCAGACAGUUAAAACACACUUGAAAAUUCAGUACAGAGCUGUUUGCUUAAUAGUAGUUUUCCUAAAAUACCCACUGCAGUAUUAUAAAUAGACCAUAAAAAUAGACCAUUGAAAAGAAACCUUUGUUUGAUCAACCAAAGUGUUGUGUAGUGCUCUAUUCCUGUAAUUUAAAUGAAUGGGAUAUUUGAACAUGGCACUACAAUGAAUGAGAAUUUCAGAGAAAAAGAACAGGCUGUUCUUUUCAGCUCUGUAGGUCAACGAGACAUUUGAGUUUUGUUCUUAAAAAUACAUGUUUCACAUCUCCUUUUUAUAUCAUCAGAAAUUACAUACCUACAUAUAAAAAGUGGUAGCCCUUUCAUAAGCACAACUAAAACAAACCUUAAAAUAAAACAUACCCAGAUUUUUAAGUCAUUGCACUAGACUUGAAAUGUCAUUAUUUUUUAUAAAAUGUAUAAAGAUGAGCAAAGAUCAGGAGUGUCACGGUUUAAAUCCAGUAUUAAAAUUUUCUUGCAACACAUAAUUUCUAAUAAAUGAAAGAACAGCAAUCAAGAAAACUGGAGAGUUGAAACUUCCUUAUCUGUCUAUAUGUAAUCCCUUAUCUCUAAGAACUUGAAAACUUAAUCGAAUUCAUACUCCCAGAGCUUAACAGGAGUUUCAAAUUUCUCUGCAUACUAAAAAAAAAAAAAAAAAAAAAUUAACAUCCCACCCUAUUCUGGAGUUGUGGAAAAUCAUAUAAAAAGAUGGUCAAACUUGUCUAUACCAACAAACAGUCCUGUAGGUAAACUUUUGGAGUCUUGAAAUAAAAGCAGUUUUCCAAAGAGGCUUAAUAUAUUGUUUAAAUUAUUUAUUUAACUUUGCUUCCUUCUGUAUCAAUGGCUAUCUCUGUUUAGAAGUACAGGUAAAGAGUGUGGGAAAGCAAGAAAAGCAAAGAGCUGUUUAAGUUAUGUUGUAUAUGAGUAUAUGGAUUUAAUGUGGCACUGGAUGUUUUAUAUAACCAUAAUUAUUCAAUUAACUUUGACAAAAUUGUAAGAAAAACAUUAUGUAUCUAUUCAGAAGGUAUAUGUGAAUGUUCCUUCACAGAGGAAGCCUGUUGUCAGUCUGCAAAAUUAUUCUAAAUGUCUGUUCUUUAAAGACAUGCUGAUACCAUAAAAUCUUCUUUGAAAAAGACAUUGAUUAUGAUUUUUGAUAUGUUUAUCAACUGGUUGGUUGAUUGUAUAUUUUGUACAAAGACAGUAUGCAUUUCAAAUAAUACCUCAUUUUAAAUAAACUCUGUACACUUCUCAAAAUCUAUUUUCUUCAGCUGUCAAAGUCAAUGCAUU